GACGAACCGUGCUAACGUUGUUCGGAAUCACUGGGCUUAAAGGGCGCGUAGGCGGGGUGGAUAGUCUAUGGUGAAAUCCUCCGGCUCAACCGGAGAACUGCCGUGGAUACUGCCACUCUCGAGGGGUGUAGGGGCAUGCGGAACUUCGGGUGGAGCGGUGAAAUGCGUAGAUAUCCGAAGGAACGCCGGUGGCGAAAGCGGCGUGCUGGACACCUUCUGACGCUGAGGCGCGAAAGCCAGGGGAGCAAACGGG
rnacentral:rRNA from 1 species